GAUGAAGAACGCAGCGAAAUGCGAUAAGUAAUGUGAAUUGCAGAAUUCAGUGAAUCAUCGAAUCUUUGAACGCACAUUGCGCCCCUUGGUAUUCCGAGGGGCAUGCCUGUUCGAGCGUCAUUAUAACCCCUCAAGCUCAGCUUGGUGUUGGGGCCUGCUGCACUGGCAGCCCUUAAAAUCAGUGGCGGCGCCAUCUGGCUCUAAGCGUAGUAAUUCUUCUCGCUAUGGAGUCCUGGUGGAUGCUUGCCAUCAACCCCCAAUUUUUCUAUGGUUGACCUCGGAUCAGGUAGGGAUACCCGCUGAACUUAAGCAUAUCAAUAAGCGAGGA
rnacentral:misc_RNA from 1 species